AAGGCGCGCGAUACAGGGUGACAGCCCCGUACACAAAAGCGUAUGUGCUGUGAGCUCGAUGAGUAGGGCGGGACACGUGGUAUCCUGUCUGAAUAUGGGGGGACCAUCCUCCAAGGCUAAAUACUCCUGACUGACCGAUAGUGAACCAGUACCGUGAGGGAAAGGCGAAAAGAACCCCGGCGAGGGGAGUGAAAAAGAACCUGAAACCGUGUACGUACAAGCAGUGGGAGCCCCACCACUAAGCCAGUGGUGAACUCCACAUACGCAUCCUUUGCUGAGGAUACGGUUAACGGAGCGAAAGCGACGUUCAACCGCAAAAGAAGCAGAGGGGGCUUAGUGGUGGGGUGACUGCGUACCUUUUGUAUAAUGGGUCAGCGACUUAUAUUCUGUAGCAAGGUUAACCGAAUAGGGGAGCCGGAGGGAAACCGAGUCUUAACCGGGCGUUAAGUUGCAGGGUAUAGACCCGAAACCCGGUGAUCUAGCCAUGGGCAGGUUGAAGGUUGGGUAACACUAACUGGAGGACCGAACCGACUAAUGUUGAAAAAUUAGCGGAUGACCUGUGGCUGGGGGUGAAAGGCCAAUCAAACCGGGAGAUAGCUGGUUCUCCCCGAAAGCUAUUUAGGUAGCGCCUCGUGAAUUCAUCUCCGGGGGUAGAGCACUGUUUCGGCUAGGGGGCCAUCCCGGCUUACCAACCCGAUGCAAACUGCGAAUACCGGAGAAUGUUAUCACGGGAGACACACGGCGGGUGCUAACGUCCGUCGUGAAGAGGGAAACAACCCAGACCGCCAGCUAAGGUCCCAAAGUCAUGGUUAAGUGGGAAACGAUGUGGGAAGGCCCAGACAGCCAGGAUGUUGGCUUAGAAGCAGCCAUCAUUUAAAGAAAGCGUAAUAGCUCACUGGUCGAGUCGGCCUGCGCGGAAGAUGUAACGGGGCUAAACCAUGCACCGAAGCUGCGGCAGCGAACGUAUCACUUAAAGCGAUUCAGCGGGUUACGAU
rnacentral:rRNA from 1 species